ACUCAAAGGAAUUGACGGGGGCCCGCACAAGCGGUGGAGCAUGUGGUUUAAUUCGACGCAACGCGAAGAACCUUACCUGGGCUCGAAAUGUACAGGAAUCCGGUGGAAACAUCGGCGCCCAGCAAUGGGCCUGUAUAUAGGUGCUGCAUGGCUGUCGUCAGCUCGUGUCGUGAGAUGUUGGGUUAAGUCCCGCAACGAGCGCAACCCUUACCUCCAGUUGCCAUCAUUCAGUUGGGCACUCUGGCGGAACCGCCUCGGAUAACGGGGAGGAAGGUGGGGAUGACGUCAAGUCCUCAUGGCCUUUAUGUCCAGGGCUACACACGUGCUACAAUGGCCGGUACAAACCGUCGCAAAGCCGCGAGGUGGAGCUAAUCGGAAAAAGCCGGCCUCAGUUCGGAUCGCAGUCUGCAACUCGACUGCGUGAAGCUGGAAUCGCUAGUAAUCGUGGAUCAGAAUGCCACGGUGAAUACGUUCCCGGGCCUUGUACACACCGCCCGU
rnacentral:rRNA from 1 species